rnacentral:tRNA from 1 species
GCCUUAGUGGCUCAGUUGGUUAAGCGUCUGACUUCAGCUCAGGUCAUGAUCCGGUAGUUCGUGAGUUCAAGCCCCGCGUCAGGCU